AGCUACAAAAAUGUUAACAGCAAAUAUGUUAAGUACUGAUCAACCAGGACAACAAAAUGUAAUAUAUGCAACUACACCAUAUUCUGGUCAAAUUGCCCAACAAAUCCAUUUCGGGUGAAGAAUUUCAUAAGCUGAAGUACAACCAACAAACAUAGCAUUAUAAAUGUCUAGUUUUUAUUCAUCAUUUUCUCAAAAUAUAGAAUCAUGUCAUUUGUGAAGUAUCAUAAGAACUCAUGUUGGUAACAUUGAUCAUUUCAUUGUUGAUGGUGUAAUUUUUACUCAUUCCAGUUUGGGUGAAAGUAAAUGGCUUUUUAAAAUUCUUGUAUUAUAUUUUUAUCAGUUAUAAU